rfam:Bdellovibrionales bacterium RIFOXYC1_FTLL_37_79 rifoxyc1_full_scaffold_430, whole genome shotgun sequence.
GGCCAGGUUGCCGAGCGGUCAAAGGCAGCAGACUGUAAAUCUGCCGGUGUACGCCUUCGGUGGUUCGAAUCCACCCCUUGCCA